CUGACAUAUUAAUUUCAUAAAUGCCCGACGAAGCGUGGUGACUUACUGUAUACUAAUGCAACAAUAGUACUUACAAGCCAUGCGUCGGGCGCGGGGGGCGACGAACAAAAAGUGGGCAUGAAAGGCGAGGAA
ensembl:ncRNA H03A11.9 ncRNA